rnacentral:rRNA from 1 species
GAUGAACGCUGGCGGCGUGCCUAAUACAUGCAAGUCGAGCGAACAGAUGAGGAGCUUGCUCCUCUGACGUUAGCGGCGGACGGGUGAGUAACACGUGGAUAACCUACCUAUAAUACUGGGAUAAUUUCGGGAAACCGGAGCUAAUACCGGAUAAUAUAUUGAACCGCAUGGUUCAAUAGUGAAAGACGGUUUUGCUGUCACUUAUAGAUGGAUCCGCGCCGCAUUAGCUAGUUGGUAAGGUAACGGCUUACCAAGGCAACGAUGCGUAGCCGACCUGAGAGGGUGAUCGGCCACACUGGAACUGAGACACGGUCCAGACUCCUACGGGAGGCAGCAGUAGGGAAUCUUCCGCAAUGGGCGAAAGCCUGACGGAGCAACGCCGCGUGAGUGAUGAAGGUCUUCGGAUCGUAAAACUCUGUUAUUAGGGAAGAACAAAUGUGUAAGUAACUAUGCACGUCUUGACGGUACCUAAUCAGAAAGCCACGGCUAACUACGUG